rnacentral:rRNA from 1 species
GACGAACGCUGGCGGCGUGCCUAAUACAUGCAAGUAGGACGCAGUUGCGAACGGGUGAGUAACGCGUAGGUAACUACCUAUUAGAGGGGGAUAACUAUUGGAAACGAUAGCUAAUACCGCAUACUAGUAGAUGGACCUGCGUUGUAUUAGCUAGUAGGUAGGGUAAUGGCCUACCUAGGCAACGAUACAUAGCCGCCCAGAGAAGGGUGUUGGCCACAAUGGGGAUGAGACACGGCCCAGACGCCUACGGGAGGCAGCAGGAGGGAAACUUCGGGAAUGGGGGGAACCCUGACCGGGCAACGCCGCGGGAGGGAAGAAGGUUUUCGGAUCGUAAAGCUCUGUUGUUUAGGAAGCGGUACUUAACCAGAAAGGGACGGCUAACUACGUGCCAGCAGCCGCGGUAAUAC